rnacentral:rRNA from 1 species
UACAGAGGUCUCAAGCGUUGUUCGGAUUCAUUGGGCGUAAAGGGCGCGUAGGCGGCGGGGUAAGUCGGGUGUGAAAUCUCAGAGCUCAACUCUGAAACUGCACUCGAUACUGCUCUGCUUGAGGACUGGAGAGGAGACUGGAAUUCACGGUGUAGCAGUGAAAUGCGUAGAUAUCGUGAGGAAGACCAGUGGCGAAGGCGGGUCUCUGGACAGUUCCUGACGCUGAGGAGCGAAAGCGUGGGGAGCAAACAGG